rnacentral:pre_miRNA from 1 species
AGCCUUCUAUAUCCAUGGGAGAUUUCAUCACACACCAGACCACAAGGGCUGAUCAGACUCCCAAGAUAAGUGAAGCG